rnacentral:lncRNA from 1 species
UUGUGAGCAGAAAAGGUUGGAGUUGCUUGAAAUGUAGCUGAUGAAGCCACCGUCCCAUCAUCUCGAUGGUGAGCAGAAAAGGUUGGAGUUGCUUGAAAUGCAGGUACUGAUACAGCCUCCAUCCCAUUUCCUGUUAUUUUUUGAGUUGCUUGAAAGGCAGGUGCUGAUAAAGCCCCCACCCCCAUAUCUAAAUUGUGAGUAGAAUAGGUUGGAGUUCCUUGAAAGGUGGGUGCUGAUGAGAAGUUUUUUGCUGAAAAUGACGUCUCAAAGCCAGCAGUGGUGCUGCCCGUGACUAUUGGCACUCCGCGCGAUUCAUUUGGAUCUUCUAAAAAUGGGUUGUAGUGUUGUGGCAG